UUACGGCCAUAUCACGUUGAAACAUCGGUUCCCGUACGAUCACCGAAGUUAAACAACAUCGAGCCUGGUCCGUACGUUGGUAGGUAACCCCUUGAGAAUA